GUGAGUCUUUGGCAACAUUUUUGUUUAUUGGUGAAACCAGAGUUUUGAAGACCUGUAUUGUCAAGAUUUACGUUUUUCUUCGUUUUCUCCCUCGAGCAAAUGCGGCAAGGAGUUCUCACGGCAUGUGUGUGGAGAAGGAGUUGAAUAAAUGCCCGUUUUGAAGAACUGCUUGUACGCCUGAUUGACAAGAGGGAGCUACAGUGAGAACUCAACCAGCCCGGCGCCAGAACAAGACGGUGUUCGGCAGAGCUACAAGCAAGUCACUUCACUCACCUCUUCCAUCGGACAGAUAAGAGACUGUACAUUCACCUGGCUACACAAGUAGCUACCUGAGUCCAGAGAGCUUUGGGUGCCAGUCAACAA